rnacentral:rRNA from 1 species
UACGUAGGGGGCAAGCGUUAUCCGGAUUUACUGGGUGUAAAGGGAGCGUAGGCGGUGCAGCAAGUCAGAAGUGAAAGCCCGGGGCUCAACUCCGGGACUGCUUUUGAAACUGUUGAACUAGAUUGCAGGAGAGGUAAGUGGAAUUCCUAGUGUAGCGGUGAAAUGCGUAGAUAUUAGGAGGAACACCAGUGGCGAAGGCGGCCUACUGGACUGUAAAUGACGCUGAGGCUCGAAAGCGUGGGGAGCAAACAGG